CCUACGGGAGGCAGCAGUGAGGAAUAUUGGUCAAUGGGCGAGAGCCUGAACCAGCCAAGUCGCGUGAGGGAGUACUGCCCUAUGGGUUGUAAACCUCUUUUGUCGGGGAGCAAAAGCCGGACGUGUCCGGCUGUGAGAGUACCCGAAGAAACAGCAUCGGCUAACUCCGUGCCAGCAGCCGCGGUAAUACGGAGGAUGCGAGCGUUAUCCGGAUUUAUUGGGGUUAAAGGGUGCGCAGGCGGAUUUUUAAGUCAGCGGUCAAAUCGUGGGGCUCAACCCCAUCCAGCCGUUGAAACUGGGGAUCUAGAGUGUGCGAGAGGUAUGCGGAAUGCGUGGUGUAGCGGUGAAAUGCAUAGAUAUCACGCAGAACCCCGAUUGCGAAGGCAGCAUACCGGUGCACAACUGACGCUCAGGCACGAAAGCGUGGGUAUCGAACAGGAUUAGAUACCCUUGUAGUC
rnacentral:rRNA from 1 species